ensembl:lncRNA
GUGAUUUAUUACAGAAAACUGUGUUGAACAAACUGGUCUUAAAGUGCUACAUUCAGGUCGGAGGUUCAGAGUGCCGAGGCUGGAGCCCGAGGGGCCAGACGUGGGGUGGUCCUGGGGCCAGGGUGAGGUGCCCAUUUUGUGCCCGUCACCCCACGGCACCCCACCCCAGCGGUCACCCGUGGGACAGGGCCAUUCUCCACAUUCAUCCAGCCGCUCGUGCUUUUUUUUUGGGACGUUUCGGUUAUUCUUACAAAAAUGGCUGGAAAAAGGGUUGCAUUAAAAAUACAAUCAUUCUUUUUUUUCUUUUGGUCAGGCAAAACACGAGAAACCAAUACAUUUUGUAAGCUUUUGAAAACAGCAUCUGUAAUGCCCCCCUCAUAUAGUAAGUCCUACUCCUACCCCGACCUAGCACACAGCCCAGGCAGGUGAGAGUCCAGUGGUAUCUCCACGCUAGUCUGAGCACAGCCCAUACUCAGCCCCCUGAUAGCUUUAGUGUUUCAAAAGGAAACGUUACAUAGAGUCCUCCAUAAUAUCUCCAUCUGGUGUACACAACCCACUGGGCACUCCAGACCCUUGAAGUCAAGAAAAAUAUAUACAUUUCACCCAUAUGAAAGUAUGGUAAAUCACAUUUGGCAUGGAGGGGACACCAGGUUGCAUAUGCUCAGUAUCAUGUACAGCCAGCAUGUAGAUGUUACAGUAUCUCCAACCACUAAGGAUCUGGAAUGAAGUCCAUCUGAACUAAAGCUACUGAACUUAGGAACUACAGCCAUCAUUAUCAAAUAUUUGAUAGUUAUGGCAUUUUUUUAAAGGACAAGACAUACCCCUCUGUGCCAGAAAUACCCGAAGCUCCAUUCAAAGCCUAGAUAUGGCUUGACUGACCUCUAACAAGUGCUCUAAUCUGACCUGCGACCAGAACGGUGGAGGGAACAGGAUAUGGUGUAAGGUAGGACAUACGGGUUGGCACAGGGGCACACAUCCCGUCUGAAGUAACGCAGGCAUACUGAAAUUGCACAAUAAAACAAAUACGUAAUAAAAAUAUAACAUUUGUGGGUAAAAUUACACAGAACAAUAAAUAUGUCAAAUAGAUUCUUACACGUUCCAAAACAAAAAUCCUCCCGUAGUAUCUAAAAGUGAUUCAAAUCAUGGUAUGUAGAAACGGAAUGUAUGAAGCACUAACACCAGAGGUCAGUAAGAAACCCUUCUCAGAUAUCCUAAAUAGAUAUGGAUGUUGAUGUAAGGUCAGCAGGUGGUCACAUUACCUGAUGAGCAAGUCUGGAGUUGGGAUCGUUACCUUUGACAAACACUAAGUGGUAAUGGGACAUAGAUACCUCAUUUUAGGCCUUUAGUGCAUGUGCAUAUUAGUGAAUGCGUAGGUGUGUGUGCAUUAUGCGUGUGUUUCGGCAUAUGACAAAAUGUGCCUUUCUGACCGCAUGCCCAAAGGAAAAUCCUCAGAACUCCUGAUGUCCUUUAGAGGACAGGUCAUGACAACCACGUGCUAAUCUACAGGGAAGCUACAGGUAUUCCUAUGAAAACACUGUACGUGUCUCAAUGAAACACACAGGUUGCUUUUUAGGCCAUCGAUCCCAUCCAGUACAGCUGGGUAACCGAUGUAUGAGAAACACAUUCACACAUAAACAACUUGCUCACACUGCAACAUAUUUGAAAAUAUUUGGACGGUGCUGGGUAUGACAUGCAUCUCCCCAGGUCAGAUACAUUUUUGGCUUCAAGCACUAGGCAUUCAAACAGGUUCAGAUCUAUAGCUACAGCACAUGUAAUAAUUUACACAAUCCAAUUGGGAUUUUCUUAUAUUAUCACCGGCCUUCUGCUUGGAAGAUACAUGUCACGCUCCAGACACGGAACCAGGUAGAAACGUUGGCAAGCACAAGUCAUUACCGGUCAUUUUGAUGAACUCACAUACACUUUUUGGGAAGAUGGGAAAAUGGAGAAUUAAACCAGUAGGGGGCUGUGCCUCUAAACCCUCCCUUAACCCAGUAGGGGGCUGUGCCUCUAAACCCUCCCUUAACCCAGUAGGGGGCUGUGCCUCUAAACCCUCCCUUAACCCAGUAGGGGGAUGUGCCUCUAAACCCUCCCUUAACCCAGUAUAGGGGGCUGUGCCUCUAAACCCUCCCUUAACCCAGUAGGGGGCUGUGCCUCUAAACCCUCCCUUAACCCAGUAGGGGGCUGUGCCUCUAAACCCUCCCAUUUUGUUUAAGAUAUUCAGUAACUCGUGUGCAGUGUCGUCUGUAUUGAGCGAACAUGCGUUCUUGAUCCCUGGACUGGAAUCAUGUAACUUACAGUACCAGUCAAAAGUUUAGACACCUACUCAUUCAAGGGUUUUUCUUUAUUUCUUACUAUUUUCUACUUUCUAGAAUAAUAGUGAAGACAUAAAAACUAUGAAAUAAUACAUUAAAUAACGUAGUAACCAAAAAAAGUUACAUCAAAAUGAAUUUGAUAUAUUUUAUAUUCUUCAAAGUAGCCACCCUUUGCCAUCAUCAGUAGUCACCUGGAAAGCAUUUCAAUUAACAAUCUGUGCCUUGUUAAACGUUCAUUUAUGGAAUUUCUUUCCUUCUUAAUGUGUUUGAGCCAAUCAGUUGUGUCGUGACAAGGUAGGUGUUGGAAACAGAAGAUAGCCCUAUUUGGUAAAAGACCAAGUCUAUAUUAUGGCAAGAACAGCUCAAAUAAGCAAAGAGAAAUGACAGUCCAUCAUCACUUUAAGACAUGAAGUUCAGUCAAUCCAGAAAAUGUCAAGAACUUUGAACGUUUCUUCAAGCGCAGUCGCAAAAACCAUUAAGCACCAUGAUGAAACUGGCUGUCAUGAGGACCACCACAGGAAAGAAGACCCAGAUUCACUUCUGCUGCAGAGGAUACGUUCACUAGAGUUAACUGCACCUCAAAUGAGCCCAAAUAAAUGCUUCAGGGUUCAAGUAAGACAGAUCAACAUCAACUGUUCAGAGGAGACUGCGUGAAUCAGGCCUUCAUGGUCGAAUUGCUGCAAAGAAACCACUACUAAAGGACACCAAUAAGAAGAGACCUGCUUGGGCCAAGAAACACGAGCAAUGGACAUUAGACAGCAGAAAUCUGUCCUUUGGUCUGAUGAGUCCAAAUUUGAGAUUUUUGGUUCCAACCUAGGUGAAUGGAUGAUCUCCACAUGUGUGGUUGCCACCAUGAAGCUUGGAAGAGGUGUGAUGGUGCUUUGCUGGUGACAUUUUCUGUGAUUUAUUUAGAAUUCAAGGCACACUUAACCAGCAUGGCUACCACAGAAUUAUGCAGCGAUACACCAUCCUACCUGGUUUGCAUAUAUUGGGACUAUCAUUGGUUUUUCAACCUCCAGACUGUGUAAGGGCUAUUUGACCAAGGAGAGUGAUGGAGUGCUGCAUCAGAUGACCUGGCCUCCACAAUCACUCAACCUCAAACCAAUUGAGGCGGUUUGGGACGAAUUGGACCGCACGCAGAGUGAAGGAAAAGCAACCAACAAGUGCUCAGCAUAUGUAGGAACUCAAUCAAGAUUUUGGGAAAAGCAUUCCUUACAAAGCUGGUUGAGAGAAUGCCAAGAGUGUGCAAAGCUGUCAUCAAGGCAAAGGGUGGCUACUUUGAAGAAUCUCAAAUACAUCUUGAUUUCUUAACAGUUUUUUGGUUACUACAUGAUUCCAUAUGUGUUAUUUCGUAAUUUUGACAUCUUCACAAUUAUUCUACAACAUAGAAAAUAAUAAAAAGAAAAGAAAAACCCUUGAAUGAGAAGGUGUUCUAAAACUUGACUGGUACUGUACAAACUAUUUGGGCCUGGAACUGUGGAAUCUGUUUCAGAAAGUUAAGUAACAUUUUUGUUUUAACAAACCUUGACCUAAACACACAAGUAAUAACAAGUGGAAUGUGGCAUUCAUGGAGCCUCCUUCAUUUCAUGCAGAUGAAUCAUUCUGGGUCUGUGGAGGUGUGGCUGCAUGUUAGAACACAGCAGAUCAUAGUAGUACUACUGACAAGGUAGCCGUGUACGCAUUCAUUUCGAUUUUUUAAGAAAGAAAAAGAAACUGCGGAAACUCAUGCCUCCUGUCUGAAUAGUGCAGUAAAGCCGUUGUAAAAAACAGCCUGUGCUGCGUGGGCCAGUGGUGCAGUACUCUGCAGACAUGCAGAGGGAAACAGGAAGAGGGUGACAGGAGUCCAUCCCUGGCUCUUCUAGCAUCUUUUCUAUUUUCUUUUUGUCAAUUUCCAUAUUCUUUUUAGAUCAGGCAAAAGUGCUGGAAGCCAGCUUGACUGCCAUGGGGGCCUGAAAGACACUGGCCGCAGUAUAGUUAACCCUCCUUUCUGACCUUCACUCCUGCCCGAUCAGGUGCUUGUAGGACAAGGGCGUGACAGCAGCGAUCUGGAGAGGACAAACACACAGAGACAGAAGUCAGUC